UAGUCAUAUGCUUGUCUCAAAGAUUAAGCCAUGCAUGUUCCAGUAUGAGUUUUAAUAUAACGAAACUGCGAAGGGCUCAAUAAAUCGGUUAUUAAACAAUCGACGAUUCUCAAAUGGUUAUCCGUGACAAUUCUACGGUUAAUACAUGUACUGCCACUAUGUGGUGCCUUUAUUUUGACUAUGGCUAACAGCUCUGCUGAUCGUCGUGAAGAAAUUAUCUGUGCUUAUCGUUCUUUUGAAAGAAGCUUCGAAGUUAUUUCCGCCCUAUCAGCUUUCGUCGGUAACGUAGUGGUUUACCGAGGCAGUGACGGGUAACGGGGAAUUAGGGUUUGACUCCGGAGAGGGAGCCUGAGAAACGGCUACCACAUCUAUGGAAGGCAGCAGGCGCGCGAAUUACCCAAUCCUAUACUAGGGAGGUAGUGACAAGAAAUAACAACGUAAAUAUCAAAUAUUUAUGAUUGGAAUGAGGGGACUUUAAAAUCUUCCCCGAGGAUCCAUU
rnacentral:rRNA from 1 species